GGAGGAGGGGGCGCGCCUUCGUGACGUCACGGCACCCGGCUCUUCGGGAACUCGCGUUUCGAAGAAGAAGAGUGCCUGGACUCGGGUCACGUGACGCGGCGUUGAUUGGCAGCUCCCAGACUGGAGAGACAGAGAGGGAGACGGAAAGCGAGGGCGCGGGGAGGGAGGCAGUCAGUCAGUGUGAGCGGCACUCAGUGUAAUGCAGUCCGGGCUGUGCCGCUCUCACACUUUAUACCGGGACAGAUCUGCCAGGAGGGAGGAAUCACUUCCUUUCUGACCCCCCCCCCCUCCAAUGCUCACAAACUUUGUUGUUCUACAUCACCAUCACCAUCCUCCUCCUCAGGGUGUCCGGACUGGGAUCUCGGU